UACGUAGGGUGCAAGCGUUGUCCGGAAUUACUGGGCGUAAAGCGCGUGUAGGCGGGCGGCCAAGUCUGUGGUGAAAUCGCCUGGCUUAACUGGGCGGGGUCCAUGGAAACUGGUCACCUGGAGGUCGGUAGAGGCAAGUGGAAUUCCCGGUGUAGUGGUGAAAUGCGUAGAGAUCGGGAGGAACACCAGUGGCGAAGGCGGCUUGCUGGGCCGGACCUGACGCUGAGACGCGAAGGCGUGGGGAGCGAACGGG
rnacentral:rRNA from 1 species